GGAAAAUACUGGAUUGACCCAAAUCUUGGCUGUCCUUCAGAUGCCAUUGAGGUUUUCUGCAAUUUCAGUGCUGGUGGCCAGACAUGCUUACCUCCUGUUUCUGUAACAAAGUUGGAGUUUGGAGUUGGGAAAGUCCAGAUGAACUUCCUUCAUUUACUGAGUUCGGAAGCCACCCAUAUCAUCACCAUUCACUGUCUAAACACCCCAAGGUGGACAAGCACACAAACAAGUGGCCCAGGAUUGCCUAUUGGUUUCAAGGGAUGGAAUGGCCAGAUUUUUAAAGUAAACACUCUACUUGAACCUAAAGUGCUUUCAGAUGACUGCAAGAUUCAAGAUGGCAGCUGGCAUAAGGCAACAUUUCUUUUUCACACCCAGGAACCUAAUCAACUUCCAGUGAUUGAAGUACAAAAACUUCCUCAUCUCAAAACUGAACGAAAGUAUUACAUUGACAGCAGUUCUGUAUGCUUUCUGUAAAGUCUCUGAAUUAGUUCCCGAAUUCAGGCUGUUGGCCAGGUAAUUGCUGCAGAGGGAGAAAUAAGACAGACAGAUACAGUCAUUAUGAAAUGCAUGUAAUAAAGCAUUGGCUAAAUCUUAAAGAAUCUCAGGAAGAACAGACUUCCUCCUAAGAAGGAGAAAAGGCAUUUUUAAA
rnacentral:lncRNA from 1 species